AAAAAGAAAGCAAUUACAUUGGCGUGUAAAGGAAAAAGCCAGGAUAAAAGGAAGGCAUGGGCGUGACCUAGUCAUUCAGCCAUUAUGGCGAUAGAAGGAAGAGAGAAAUGACUUGAGGAGUAAGCAGAGUUACAUGAAUAGUUUGUUAUAUUAUUAUUAUUGCUUCUGUAUUUUGUUUUUAGAAUGAGAGAGACUUGAACACAUGGGAAAAAAUAGUCAAGAUAUAUGCAUUAAACAUAUACUCAAGAGAUGAGCAAUUAAUAGGACAACUUUAAUGGAGAAGGAUAGGACACCUGACCCAUGCGAGGAGCAUCACUGGCAGCUGAGCGGCCCACAAGGAAAUUUGGGACAAAGGAAAAGCCCACCAAAGUGGGCUGCAUCUUUCAAGCGUGUCCGUGUGAAGGGACCACCAAACAGGCUUUGUGUGAGCAACAUGGCUGUUUAUUUCACCUGGGUGCAGGCGGGCUGAGUCCGAAAAGAGAGUCAGCGAAGGGAGAUGGGGUGGGGCCGUUUUAUAGGAUUUGGGAAGGUAAUGGAA
rnacentral:lncRNA from 10 species